ensembl:snoRNA
CCCUUUUGGGUUCCUUGUCCCUCAGAUAUAAAUAUUGCUCUGAGUGGCUGAAAAAGAAGGAAAAGUAAAACUGAAGUGGACUUGGAAUCUUUAAUAACUUACAAGUUCAUUUCAAACAUAG